rnacentral:rRNA from 1 species
UUCAAUUCGACGCAACGCGAAGAACCUUACCUGGGCUCGAAAUGCAGUGGACCGGGGUGGAAACAUCCCUUCCCGCAAGGGCUGCUGUAUAGGUGCUGCAUGGCUGUCGUCAGCUCGUGUCGUGAGAUGUUGGGUUAAGUCCCGCAACGAGCGCAACCCUUGUUCUGUGCUGCCAGCAUGCCUUUCGGGGUGAUGGGGACUCACAGGAGACUGCCGGGGUCAACUCGGAGGAAGGUGGGGACGACGUCAAAUCAUCAUGCCCCUUAUGUCUUGGGCUGCACACGUGCUACAAUGGUCGGUACAAAGGGCUGCGAUGCCGCGAGGUGGAGCGAAUCCCAAAAAGCCGGCCUCAGUUCGGAUUGGGGUCUGCAACUCGACCCCAUAAAGUCGGAGUCGCUAGUAAUCGCAGAUCAGCAACGCUG